AGGCUCAAUGGCUUGAAUACUGUGACUCACCCCAUUGGCAGAUAGUAUAAAUUAGCACAGAAGACCAAUACCUCCCUUGCAAAGGAAGUUGAUUAUCUUCAAUAGCCUCUCAAGAGAUCUACAUUGUAAUCAGCUGAUGAAACAGAGGUGGGAGGAUUGUCAUGAGCUCUGUUUCUGAAAUCAGAGAGAAGCAACUGCAGAUCUAUGGAGGAAAAAAAGCCAUCAAGUUGGUUUCUUGCUCUCUACCUGAAC